UCUAUUCAUCCUAUUUGUAUGCAUGUAUCAUUUUUGUUUUUGAAUUUAUGAAUAUUGGCUGUGUACUUGUGUGAUUUUUAAGUAGCCUUAGUAAGGCAUUUGGUCAACUUCUUUAGAAAGGGAUGUGCACGUUAAGUGCCCAAUCAAGAAACACUUAAGCUGACACUAAACCUUGAUGGACACCAAUCCACAUAUGAGCUUUCCUGGCUAUGUGGCUUGGCCUGGACGGUUUUGGCGUCUCA